UGUGCACCAAAAACCUCUGUGAAUAUGAGUUGUUGUCAGAUUCUACUCUUGCUACGUUAUGAUCAGAGAUUCAGGGAGAUAAGAAUCCCUAAUGAGGGGGCGGGACUAACAGUCAGAUGUAGCAAUCAAGCCCAGAGCAGCAGAUAGAAUCUGACUAUGAAAGCGGUUUGGACCUCCAUAAGCUCCACCCACAUGAGAUCGAAAUAUCAAGUUGUUUUAUAGUUUAUGUGAAAAAAGGAAAGGAACCAGGUAAGCCUAGCUCGGAUGGCCCGCGAUUAAAAAGGAUGAAUGUUGUUGCCCUGAAUUAAUUUGAACCUAGGUUAUUCCGGUCCAGGCUUCGUGGAGUAGUGGUUAAAGACAUAGCCUCACACAUGGGCGACGACCUAUACAGUGUCAGUAUAGCAUCUCGACUCUAGAUCAUUUUGUCACGCAUUAACGUUAUGUCAAGUUUGAAUAUUUUGCUAGACACCUUUAAGUAUUGUGUUGAACUGACCAACAUUUCUUAUUAAGUUUACCUCCACC